rnacentral:rRNA from 1 species
UGCCAGCCGCCGCGGUAAGACGGAGGGUCCAAGCGUUAUCCGGAUUUAUUGGGUUUAAAGGGUCCGUAGGCGGACAAUUAAGUCAGUGGUGAAAUCCAACAGCUCAACUGUUGAACUGCCAUUGAUACUGAUUGUCUUGAGUAUGUUAGAUGUUGGCGGAAUAGGUCAUGUAGCGGUGAAAUGCUUAGAUAUGACCUAGAACACCGAUUGCGAAGGCAGCCAACAAUGCCAUUACUGAAGCUGAGUGACGAAAGCGUGGGGAGCGAACAGGAUUAGAUA